UGCUCGUUGUCCUGGGAAAUUAUUCCGUC
rnacentral:sRNA from 1 species